rnacentral:rRNA from 1 species
UACGUAGGGGGCAAGCGUUGUCCGGAAUCAUUGGGCGUAAAGAGCGCGUAGGCGGUCCGGUAAGUCGGUUGUGAAAACUGGGGGCUCAACCCUCAGAGGCCGACCGAUACUGUCGGGCUAGAGUCCGGAAGAGGCGAGUGGAAUUCCUGGUGUAGCGGUGAAAUGCGCAGAUAUCGGGAGGAACACCGGUGGCGAAGGCGGUUCUCUGGGCCUUACCUGACGCUGAGGAGCGAAAGCGUGGGGAGCGAACAGG